UACAGAGGUCCCGAGCGUUGUUCGGAUUCACUGGGCGUAAAGGGUGCGUAGGUGGCUGGGAAAGUUUGAUGUGAAAGCUCAGGGCUUAACCCUGAAAUGGCAUUGAAUACUGCCUGGCUGGAGGUUUGGAGGGGGACUGGAAUUCUUGGUGUAGCAGUGAAAUGCGUAGAUAUCAAGAGGAACACCGAUGGCGAAGGCAGGUCUCUGGGCCAUAACUGACGCUGAGAAGCGAAAGCAUGGGGAGCGAACAGGAUAGAUACC
rnacentral:rRNA from 1 species